GCUACGGGUGGCUGCAGUGGGGAAUAUUGCACAAUGGGGGAAACCCUGAUGCAGCGACGCCGCGUGAGUGAAGAAGUAAUUCGUUAUGUAAAGCUCUAUCAGCAGGGAAGAAAAUGACGGUACCUGAGUAAGAAGCCCCGGCUAACUACGUGCCAGCAGCCGCGGUAAUACGGAGGGUGCGAGCGUUAAUCGGAAUUACUGGGCGUAAAGCGCUCGUAGGCGGUAUGGCAAGUCAAGGGUGAAAUCCCCGCGCUAAACGUGGGAACUGCCUUUGAAACAGGCAAACUGGAGUGUGUGAGAGGAUGGUGGAAUUGCAGGUGUAGGAGUGAAAUCCGUAGAUAUCUGGAGGAACAUCAGUGGCGAAGGCGACUAUCUGACACAUAACUGACGCUGAGGAGCGAAAGCGUGGGUAGCAAACAGGAUUAGAUACCCGAGUAGUC
rnacentral:rRNA from 1 species